CAAUAGCGUAUAUUAAAGUUGUUGCAGUUAAAAGCUCGUAGUUGGAUUUCUGGCCGAGUGUCCCUAGGCCAGCAUGACGUUUGGUCCUAGGCGCUCUGCCAUCCUUCUGUCAACCUUCGCCUUCUUCAUUGGGGGCGGCUGGGGCGUCAGAUAUUUUACCUUUGAGAAAAUUAAGAGUGUUUCAGGCAGGCUUUCGUCCGGAAUAACAUUAGCAUGGAAUAAUGGAAAAGGGAACUUCAACCUCCUUCUGUUGGUCUGAGAGGCUGUAGUAAUGAUUAAUAGGGAGUAUUGGGGGCGAUUAGUACUUAACUGUCAGAGGUGAAAUU
rnacentral:rRNA from 1 species